rnacentral:lncRNA from 1 species
GGCUGCUCUUCAGCACGGGCAUCUCCAGCUCCUGCGGCACCGCAGGCUGCGGCUCGGACCGCACCGGGGAGGGCGGCGUCAGGCGGAAGCGGACCUGGGAGCAGAGGGCAGGGCAGUGACCAGGAAGUGCUGUGGAACAUCAGAUAGAAUGGAUAGCACAGCCCAAAUUUUACAAAAAGGAUUUUAAAGGAAGAUCUCAAUGGUGGAACACUAGAGGCUUUCCUGCUAAAGUUAAGAACAAGCAAAGGCUGACGCAGUUUUGGCAUGCAGGAAGUGUUGGAGCUGAGACUCGAAACUGUCCCCCAGGCCUUGGCCAUGCUGAUAAAUAUCUAGGCCCUACAGGAGUUCGUGUCCAUGAACCCAGUAAACGCAAUUCCUCAGCCUUAAAAUCUAGUCACUGACUCAUUUCAGGCCCCAGCACAGACGAAAACAAGCCAUUCUGUUUGCCCAGUUUACAUUGCGGGUCUCCAAGAAGUGGAAUGUUCACCAAUGAUUUUAAGAAAACAGGGCCUGGCGCGGUGGCUCACGCCUGUAAUCCCAGCACUUUGGGAGGCCGAGGCAGGCAGAUCACCUGAGGU